CUCGUAACGAACUCAAUGGGGGCGACGGGUUCUUUCCCGUCGUCCCUCGACGCUUGGAUAGAACGGGCGCCUAGAGCGCUCGGUCUUUCUCGGCGGCACAACGAACCCCGGCGCGGAAUGCGCCAAGGAACUUGAACAAGAGAGCGAUGCUCCCAUCACCCCAGACAUGGUGCGUGCGUGGGAUGCCAUGCAAUCUCCUAUUACUCA
rnacentral:misc_RNA from 1 species